rnacentral:lncRNA from 14 species
CACUUCUCCACUGUGGGCUUCUGCUUUCUACAUUGUACGGUAAACGGGAAAGACAACCAACAUGGGAAAUUGGUUGAAAGGCAAGUAGAAGACUUAAUUCUUAAGUUCCUAUGAAUUGGAGCUUAAUUCAUAAUGGACAUUUUUUUAAAGCAAGCCAAAGGGAAAUUCCCCCGGCAUAUCUGGAUAACACUGUAGACAGAUUACAAAGAUAAAGAAUUUCCUCUAGUUCAUACACAGGCUGUGAGCCCAACUGUGGCUUCAUCUCACAGUGAGUAGGAGCCGAUGAACUGUGACCAUUCACAGCAUCACUUACCAAAGUCACUGCUGUCAUCCACGAGGAUGAUCUCAUGGAGAAGGUGUGCCGGCGUGCGGUCCACAACACUGUGCACAGUCCGCAACAAGGCAGAAAAAGCUUCGUUGUAGAAACAGAUAACAACGCUAGCAGUUGGCAGGUCAGUUGGGUAGGACUUCCCCCUACACCUUUAACAAGAACAUCUGGUACUUUAAGAGGCUCAAAUGUCUUGGGUUAUUUCUUGCCACCUUGUUCAGUUCCUUUCUUACAUGAUAGUGAUGUUUAAGCAUGUAUGAAGACAUGUAUGUAUGUUUAAGCAUGUAUGAAGACACUGUGGUUUAUUCUUUGCUUUACAUCAUGUUAAUAACUUUAACUUGGUAGAGAAGUUAAUGGGGUGGUGGUGGUGGUUACUGCAUGUAUAACAUUACAGGUUAAUCCAGCUUCUCAAGGAGGUUUCAAAUGCAAACACAAUAAUAAAACUUUGUCGGGGCUGGGGAUUUAGCUCAGUGGUAGAGCGCUUGCCUAGGAAGCACAAGGCCCUGGGUUCGGUCCCCAGCUCCGAA